rnacentral:rRNA from 1 species
GACGAAACUGUCCUAACGUUGUUCGGAAAUCACUGGGCUUAAAGGGCGCGUAGGCGGUCCGACAAGUCAGGGGUGAAAUCCUGCAGCUUAACUGUAGAAGUGCCUUUGAUACUGUCGGUCUUGAAGGGAAAUAGGGGUGUGCGGAACUUCCAGUGGAGCGGUGAAAUGCGUUGAUAUUGGGAAGGAACGCCGGAGGCGAAAGCGGCGCACGUGGAUUC